rnacentral:rRNA from 1 species
GAUGAACGCUGGCGGCGUGCCUAAUACAUGCAAGUCGAGCGAACAGACGAGGAGCUUGCUCCUCUGACGUUAGCGGCGGACGGGUGAGUAACACGUGGAUAACCUACCUAUAAUACUGGGUAAACUUCGGGAAACCGGCGCCAAUACUGGCUAAUAUAUUGAACCGCAUUGUUCAAUAGUCAAUGUCGGUUUUGCUGUCACUUUUAGACGGAUUCGUGCCGCAUUAUCUAGUUGGUAAGGUAACGGCUUACCAAGGCAACGAUGCGUAGCCGACCUGAGAGGGUGAUCGGCCACACAGGAAAUGAGACACGGUACAGACUCCUGCGGGAGGCAGAAGUAGGGAAUCUUCCGCAAUGGGCGAAAGCCUGACAGAGUAAGACCGCGUGUGUGAUGAAGGUCUUCGGUUCGUAAAACUCUGUUAUUAGGGAAGAACAAAUGUGUGAGUAAUUAUGCUCGUCUUGACGGUACCUAAACAGAAAGCAACGGCUAACGACGUG